CUCCAGUUAGUCUUGUAGUUUAGGCUUCGGAUUGCCAAUCCGGAGACGGCGGGUUCAAUUCCCGUUCUGGUCG
rfam:Aedes albopictus isolate Foshan contig80857, whole genome shotgun sequence.